GGACACUGAGGUUCAGAGAGGUUACUUACCUUAAGGUCACGCAGCUACUAAGUGGCAGAAGAGAGGUUCAACUUGGAAGACACUGAAGUCUCUGGAAUGUGUGUGUAUGUGGCUGUGGUUAUAUGUAUGUGAAGAUCUCUCUUCCUCUAAGAAUUUUAAAAAGGAUCAAAAGAGAAAAUACAGGUGAUGAAGUAGAAAUUCAGUCAUGAAAAUAAAAAGACAUAUAUCAAAUAUACAGCAUCCUGGUGUCACAGAACAGACAGAACUGUCCUAGACACUGUGGGGAAAAGAUGGGCACUGGAGAGUCAAGCAGUUUAUUGUGGUUUAAUGAUGAGAUGCAUGUGCUGAGGAGGUAAUCAGAAGAAGUGAGAAAAGGAGACGGUGUGAAAUUUUGAAGAUUUUAUAUGCCAUGAUGCAGAAAUAAAAGUUCAGCAGGGUCAAGUAAGUUGUCCAAUGUUCAGUAUGAUGGAGUGGGAUUCACAUGCAAGACUAACUACCACUGAACCAUUUACUUCUGACUUUGCUAUUCUGCUUCCACUCACUGAACAUCUCUCUGAGCAAGGCUCAGCACCUGGUAUGAAGGCUGAAACAAGAGCGGUUGCACAGCAAAUGUUUUGCUAUAAUGAGAGAAUACAUGAAUUAAAUGCGAAUUAAACUGCUUCUAUCUCCUUAUGGUGGCAAAUAGUAUCCAUGUGUUAUCGAUGAAGUCAAGUCAAACUUCAUCUAGAUGUAGCUUCUGGAUUCAGACUGUAAAUUCUACAAGGGUGAGAUCUAUGCCAUUGUUUUUCUUCACUGUGUUUGCAGUGUUUAGCUUGGUGCUUAGCAUAAUAAAAGUGGAUGGGUGACAGAGGAAGGAAUUUGUAUACCCCAAAUUUGAAAGGCUUUUCCCCCAGUACAUUUAAACAAAACUUUACUGAAGGUCUACUCUAGGAAAACCAUGCUGGAGCUUGAUUAUACUCAUUCUCCUGUUCCUUUAAGUCUUAGAGGGAGAAACAAAAAUUAUGAGUUAUAGUUACAGAGAUAAAAACCUAGAAAGCUGGGGCAAAAUAUAAAUUCCCUCAUUACUUUGUUUUAGAUAUAAAAUAUAAGAAAACAGUUUAUUCCUGAAUGCAUGUCUGUCUGUUUGGGGAUUCAUAUCUAUAGAUCUAGAAAAAGGCACGUUCCCUAGGCUAGAACAGGGGCUGUGUCAUUAUAUCAGUGGCAAUACAUAUGGGCUAUCAGUGGACUCUUAGAGUUCAUCUGCCAUUCCUCAUCCUCCUUUCCUAGUGCUUUCCAGUCAUUUUAUAAAUUGAAAGAUCUCACUUUCCAAUUGUAGACAGAGCUCCUCUGAGGGAUGUGGAUAUGGGUAGGCAAAAAAUGGAAAAAGAGUAGGCAGAAAGAAGAGUUGUGGGAUAAAGAAAUAAGGAGAAGG
rnacentral:lncRNA from 1 species